rnacentral:rRNA from 1 species
GAACGCUGGCGGCGUGCCUAAUACAUGCAAGUCGAACGCUUCUUUCCUCCCGAGUGCUUGCCCUCAAUUGGAAAGAGGAGUGGCGGACGGGUGGGUAACACAUGGGUAACCUACCCAUCAGAGGGGGAUAACACUUGGAAACAGGUGCUAAUACCGCAUAACAGUUUAUGCCGCAUGGCAUAAGAGUGAAAGGCGCUUUCGGGUGUCGCUGAUGGAUGGACCCGCGGUGCAUUAGCUAGUUGGUGAGGUAACGGCUCACCAAGGCCACGAUGCAUAGCCGACCUGAGAGGGUGAUCGGCCACACUGGGACUGAGACACGGCCCAGACUCCUACGGGAGGCAGCAGUAGGGAAUCUUCGGCAAUGGACGAAAGUCUGACCGAGCAACGCCGCGUGAGUGAAGAAGGUUUUCGGAUCGUAAAACUCUGUUGUUAGAGAAGAACAAGGACGUUAGUAACUGAACGUCCCCUGACGGUAUCUAACCAGAAAGCCACGGCUAACUACGUG